AUAAGCCACCGAAAGGUGGUCUAAUACCUUAUAGUAUCCAUCUCGUAUGGAUUAAAGCUUUAUGCGCUUUGGGAGGGGCCUGCGUUUGAUUAGCUAGUUGGUGAGGUAAAAGCUCACCAAGGCGACGAUCAAUAGCUGGUUUGAGAGGAUGACCAGCCACACUGGGACUGAGAUACGGCCCAGACUCCUACGGGAGGCAGCAGUAAGGAAUCUUCCACAAUGGGGGCAACCCUGAUGGAGCAAUACCGCGUGCAGGAUGAAGCGUUUCGGCGUGUAAACUGCUUUUAUCACCGAAGAUUAUGACUGUAGGUGAAGAAUAAGGACCGGCUAACUACGUG
rnacentral:rRNA from 1 species